GUGGCCGUAGCUCAGUUGGUAGAGCGCAAGCUUGUGGAGCUUGAUGUCGCGGGUUCGAUCCCCGUCGGUCACC
rnacentral:tRNA from 1 species